rnacentral:misc_RNA from 1 species
GAUGAAGAACGUAGUAAAAUGCGAUAAGUAAUGUGAAUUGCAGAAUUCAGUGAAUCAUCGAAUCUUUGAACGCACAUUGCGCCCGCUGGUAUUCCGGCGGGCAUGCCUGUUCGAGCGUCAUUUCAACCCUCAAGCCCCCGGGUUUGGUGUUGGGGAUCGGCUCUGCCCUUCUGGGCGGUGCCGCCCCCGACAUACAUUGGCGGUCUCGCUGCAGCCUCCAUUGCGUAGUAGCUAACACCUCGCAACUGGAACGCGGCGCGGCCAUGCCGUAAAACCCCAACUUCUGAAUGUUGACCUCGGAUCAGGUAGGAAUACCCGCUGAACUUAAGCAUAUCAAUAAGCGGAGGA